UUGGUGUCUUAGCGGUUCGUGUUUGUAAGUCUAAGCUCCUCUUCCCAGCCACCAACUCGAUCUGCCCUAGUCUUCCCAUCUCCUACUUAAGUCAAGGUCCAGUAGGCCGUGCAGUCCUAGAGCUCGAGUGAUCUCCUUGGCUCUUGUAGCCUAUGUUUCCCCGGAGUUAAUCCCCUCCCAAUAUCUUGGUCCAUCUGCCCAGAGCUUGGUGUACCAGUCCCUAGGUGGUGACCAUCGUCGGCUGUUAGUCCACCUCGCCGUGACCAGGUAACUUCAAGGGUUUCCUCAGUCGAGUUGUGCAUAUUUUGUGCUCUACAUAAGGUAGAGAAGCUCAUAUGAUGGUAAACCAUUCUCCUUAAGUAGGUUUGGUUUGGGGUGUAUGGAAAAUAGAGUGAAAGCUGCCCAAAAAUGGACUGUGAGUUUGCACUGACUGAAUUUUUGUUCAGAUUAGCUGAAAACUGGAUUGCAGCAGAUUGCUCAGUUUGGAGCUCUCCUAUGACCAGUUCAUGAGGUUUUGGGUUACCAGUUGUAUAGAAAAGUCAAAGACCAGAUGAAGGUGAACAAGCUUCAUCAGAGGAGUGGGGCUUACUACUGUGUAAAAUAUGGAGAAAUAUGUGCUGCAAUUUUCUAUGUCAGGUGUUGUGUUCAGGUCUUUUUCAGUUAGCUGAAAUUUAGCCUUUGCGUUUCCACCUCAAGUUUGGUGCUCUGUAACUUGAGAUCUGUUUAGGGUUAGCUAGUAGCUGUUGUAACAAAGAUGGAGAGAGAUUAUAGAGGAACCAUUCAUAGUAAGGAAAUACAUUGAGCCCUCAUAUGGAAUUGCGAGAAAAUAGUGUUACAAAACCCUCUGUCAGACUUGGAGUGGGCUGUUUCAGCUAACUGAAAACCGGUUCAGGGUGUUGUUUAGUCAACUUUGG
rnacentral:lncRNA from 1 species